GAACGGAGCGCGUGAGAGCGAACAUUUCGGUGGGAGCAUUCGCGCAGCUUAGUGGCGGACGGGUGAGUAACGCGUGGACAAUCUGCCGCGCACAGGGGAAUAACAGCCGGAAACGGCUGCUAAUGCCGCAUAUGCGCGCAGCGUCGCAUGACGCAGCGCGGAAAGCAAUUUGCGGUGCGCGAUGAGUCCGCGUCCGAUUAGGCAGUUGGCGGGGUAAUGGCCCACCAAACCGACGAUCGGUAGCCGGCCUGAGAGGGCGGACGGCCACACUGGGACUGAGACACGGCCCAGACUCCUGCGGGAGGCAGCAGUGGGGAAUAUUGCACAAUGGGGGAAACCCUGAUGCAGCGACGCCGCGUGAAGGAAGAAGUAUCUCGGUAUGUAAACUUCUAUCGGCAGGGAAGAAAACGGACGGUACCUGACUAAGAAGCCCCGGCUAACUACGUGCCAGCAGCCGCGGUAAUACGUAGGGGGCGAGCGUUAUCCGGAUUUACUGGGUGUAAAGGGAGCGUAGACGGCUGGGCAAGCCUGAUGUGAAAGGCGGGGGCGCAACCCUCGGACUGCAUUGGGAACUGUCCGGCUGGAGCGCCGGAGGGGUAAGCGGAAUUCCUGGUGUAGCGGU
rnacentral:rRNA from 1 species